AUUUGAAUGAAUAGGGUUGUGAUGGUUCAGAUUUUUGCUCCUUCCAAAAGUUCAAGGAUAAAAUUGUGGCUCCUCAUCUCAAGCAUGAUUUCCACAAAUUGUGCACUGUGAAUAAGGAAGAGUCAGAAGUGACAUUGGAAUCAAAUCGUCAACAGGAGCAUACAUCAAAUAAUCCAGGUUUUACAUGUAGCCAGGAGUUUACUCACGGCAAGGAAAACCAGUUUUCAUGACUCUGAAACUAUGUCAUUAUCGGAUUUCGUGACAAUUAUUUUAGGGAUAAUUGCAAAUUUAGCAAUUAUAUUCAAAAUAACUAAGUAUAUAGCAACAUUUUAAAAAUAAUUAAAAAUA